GACGUAGGGCGCGAGCGUUGUCCGGAUUUAUUGGGCGUAAAGAGCUCGUAGGCGGCUUGUUGCGUCAGCUGUGAAAACCCGCAGCUCAACUGUGGGCUUGCAGCUGAUACGGGCUGGCUUGAGUUCGGUAGGGGAGACUGGAAUUCCUGGUGUAGCGGUGAAAUGCGCAGAUAUCAGGAGGAACACCGGUGGCGAAGGCGGGUCUCUGGGCCGAUACUGACGCUGAGGAGCGAAAGCGUGGGGAGCGAACAGG
rnacentral:rRNA from 1 species